AUAGGAGAAAGCAUCAUAAGCGGAGCGAAUGAUUCAGGAUGCUUUCGACGACCUGCCGCCGAGCGUAUGCGAGGGGCAAUACCAUA
rnacentral:sRNA from 1 species